rnacentral:rRNA from 1 species
CCCUUAGAUGUCCUGAACCGCACGCGUGUUACACUGAUGCAUUCAACGAGCUUUACCUUGGCCGAGAGGCCUGGGAAAUCUUUUUAGCAUGCAUCGUGAUAGGGAUUGAUUAUUGCAAUUAUUAAUCAUGAACGAGGAAUUCCUAGUAAACGCAUUUCAUCAAAAUGCAUUGAUUACGUCCCUGCCCUUUGUACACACCGCCCGUCGCACCUACCGAUUGAGUGGUCCGGUGAAGUCUCGAGAUUGUGGCAAUCUCCUUUAUUGGAGUUUGACUGCGAGAACUUGCCUAAACCUUAUCACUUAGAGGAAGGUGAAGUCGUAACA